rnacentral:lncRNA from 1 species
CCCCCUGACCAAGACACUCGGCUUCGCCCAUCUACCCUCUGCUGCCAAGAUGGCGAAGCGUGGUGAGGAGGGUCUCUCUCUUCUUUACUCGGUUCCUGUUUCAUUUAUUUCCGUUUCUGUAAAUUUUGUGUGUAGCUAUAGCGAAGGCUUUGCAGAAAUAUAGCGGCAAUGUUCUUUCUGCUUUUGCGUGAGAUCUCAUUUCUAGAUGUAGUGGUUUUGUCACUUGAUACACUGACUAUUAUGGUCGCUUAUCUUGUGCUAGAAAGAGACGGUUUUCUUGUAAAUGGAUCGUUCACAUGAGGUUCCAGUUGUUUAGGGAUGCAAGAUUAUUGCCACUCCUUUAAUUUGGUAAUUAUGAUGCACAGGACGGAGAGGCUCCGUGCGAAAUAAUUUCCGCAUGUUGCUGGGUCUUCUGGUUCUCUGUGAAAGGGAUCAAGAGCUGGCAGAACGUCUCUCCUCUUAUUGUGUCGGGGUACGGUGAUGGCCGCCGUUAAGAAGGAUUAGCCAGACCUGAGGGACAAGGCUAUGCUUGCCCUCACCCUGAGGCAGUGGAAGCGGCGGUUCCGAGGGUAUCAACUUCAUUUAUGAUUCAUUCCUUACUUCUUUAUAAUCAUCAUUGAUUUAUCCACUUAUACUUUUAAAUUUUUUCUGGCUUUUAUACCUUCGCACACAAUUCAAGCAACAGGUUUCAUUAUUCU